AAACCCUCCCUUUGAGCAGCCACAUAAUAUUUGGUGCCCUAUCUUCUUUUGUACCUCCUUGCUAUUUCCUUUGCCAUACUUACUGCAAGGGGCAUGGUUACAAAAGAAAUACUGAGACAGAAAAUACUGAGAAAGUCACCAGAAAGUAAGCUCACUGGUUGACUGUUUCCUGUCUGCAGAAUACACUCAGAGGAUUUCCUCGGGGCUUCAAUGCAGAGAAGCCAGAGCUUCAGGUCCCUCUAAGGUGCUGGGAUGAAAUUCACGGGUGGUGAAGAGCUCUGAUAUCAGCACCAGCUGGCUUCCAGCUUCCAGCAGCCCAGCCGCUGCCAAGCUGGCCACUGUUGGAGCAGCAUAUGCACCGUCAUGCAUGGAAAGGUUGCUUCGUAAACCUUCCCUACAAUCAGCACCGAGGAGUUGACAGGACUACUAUCAUCAGGCUCCUUCGAGGUGGCUCUUUUUUCCCUACUGACCUUUAAGCCCCAACAGAAACGCGAAGGGGAGAGAAGAGAGAGCAGGAGAAGGGAGGAAGGAUGAGAGAAACACAGCUGAGGAAAAGGGGUGUGGUAGUUUUUUUCCUAAACCAUCAA